GAUGAACGCUGGCGGCAUGCCUAAUACAUGCAAGUCGAGCGAACGGAUAAGAAGCUUGCUCCUUUGACGUUAGCGACGGACGGGUGAGUAACACGUGGGUAACCUACUUAUAAUACUGGGAUAACUUCGGGAAACCGGAGCUAAUAAUAGAUAACAUUUGGAACCGCAUGAUUCUAGAGUGCUACGGAGUUUUGCUAUCACAUAGAGAUGGACCCGCGCCGUAUUAGCUAGUUGGUAAGGUAACGGCAUACCAAGGCGACGAUCCGUAGCCGACCUGAGGGGAUGAUCGGCCACACUGGAACUGAGACACGGUCCAGACUCCUACGGGAGGCAGCAGUAGGGAAUCUUGCACAAUGGGCGAAAGCCUGACCGAGCCACACCGCGUGAGUGAAGAAGGCCUUCGGGUUGUAAAGCCCUUUUAUUAGGAAAGAAAAGCAGCAGGUGAAUACCCCGCUGUUCUGACGGUACCCAAAGAAAAAGCCCCGGCUAACUUCGUG
rnacentral:rRNA from 1 species